CAGUCGCCACGGUAAUACGUAGGGUGCGAGCGUUAAUCGGAAUUACUGGGCGUAAAGCGGGCGCAGACGGUUACUUAAGCAGGAUGUGAAAUCCCCGGGCUCAACCUGGGAACUGCGUUCUGAACUGGGUGACUAGAGUGUGUCAGAGGGAGGUAGAAUUCCACGUGUAGCAGUGAAAUGCGUAGAGAUGUGGAGGAAUACCGAUGGCGAAGGCAGCCUCCUGGGAUAACACUGACGUUCAUGCCCGAAAGCGUGGGUAGCAAACAGGAUUAGAUACCCCUGUAGUCCCUGUCUCUUAUAC
rnacentral:rRNA from 1 species